AAGUCGUAACAAGGUCUCCGUUGGUGAACCAGCGGAGGGAUCAUUACUGAGUACUACACUCUCUACCCUUUGUGAACUAUUAUACCUGUUGCUUCGGCGGCGCCCGCAAGGGUGCCCGCCGGUCUCAUCAGAAUCUCUGUUUUCGAACCCGACGAUACUUCUGAGUGUUCUUAGCGAACUGUCAAAACUUUUAACAACGGAUCUCUUGGCUCCAGCAUCGAUGAAGAACGCAGCGAAACGCGAUAUGUAAUGUGAAUUGCAGAAUUCAGUGAAUCAUCGAAUCUUUGAACGCACAUGGCGCCUUCCAGUAUCCUGGGAGGCAUGCCUGUCCGAGCGUCGUUUCAACCCUCGAGCCCCUGUGGCCCCGGCGUUGGGGAUCUGCCACGGCAGGCCCCUAAAACCAGUGGCGGACCCGAAGGGCCCUCUCCUUUGCGCAGUAGCAUUCGCCUCGCAUCGGGAGUCCUCGGCGUCCUGCCUCUAAACCCCCCACAAGCCGCUUCGGCGGCACCAAGGUUGACCUCGGAUCAGGUAGGAAUACCCGCUGAACUUAA
rnacentral:rRNA from 1 species